rnacentral:lncRNA from 13 species
AAGGGGAUUACAGACUGGUUUUAAGGGGAUUACAGACUGGUUUUAAGGGGAUUACAGACUGUGGCUUUAAGGGGAUUACAGACUGUGGCUUUAAGGGGAUUACAGACUGUGGCUUUAAGGGGAUUACAGACUGUGGCUUUAAGGGGAUUACAGACUGUGGCUUUAAGGGCAUUACAGACUGUGGCUUUAAGGGGAUUACAGACUNNNNNNNNNNAUCUUGUUUACAUA